rnacentral:rRNA from 1 species
AGUGAACGCUGGCGGCGUGCUUAAUACAUGCAAGUCGAACGAUGAAGUCCUAGCUUGCUAGGAUGGAUUAUUGGCGCACGGGUGAGUAAUAUAUAGUUAAUCUGCCUUUCACUGAGGAACAACAGUUGGAAACGAUUGCUAAUACCUCAUACUCCAACUUUACAUAAGUUAAGUUGGGAAAGUCUUUUCGGUGCAAGAUGAGACUAUAUCGUAUCAGCUAGUUGGUAAGGUAAUGUCUUACCAAGGCUAUGACGCGUAACUGGUCUGAGAGGAUGAUCAGCAAACUUGGAACUGAGACACGGUCCAAACUCCUACGGGAGGCAGCAGUAAGGAAUAUUGUGCAAUGGGGGAAACCCUGACGCAGCAACGCCGCGUGGAGGAUGACACUUUUCGGAGCGUAAACUCCUUUUGUUAGGGAAGAAUAAUGACGGUACCUAACGAAUAAGCACCGGCUAACUCCGUG